AGCAGUUUUGAUUUUAUCAAUCAAUAAAAAGAAAAAAAAUCAAUACAUAAAAUUUUGAAAAAAAUUAAUUCAAAAAUUUGUAUUUUCAAUUUUUUUUUCGAGAUUUGAUUUGCAAAAUUAAUUUUUGAAAAACUGUACUAUAAAUCGGCUUUAUUCAAGGUUUUUGGCUUUAAAAAAAGAAAAUUGCCCCUCCCGGCUAGCCUAAGCGAAUGCACCGAUUAAUGUAAAACUUGGUAUGUAGCUGUUUUUGGCGACUCUCCAGGGUGUUUUUUGGAAUUAAUUUUUUUGGACCGAAAAUAACGUGACUACUUACCAUAUCAGCCCGUUUCUUGUCGACGUUGACUUUUUGGAACUCACUGUAUACACAUUUCAUUGAAACUAGAUGAAUCUGCAGAUGUUUCAAACAAGUAUGUCUCGUCCGUUUUGAAGCAGAUGAAAACAUUGAAGAAACACUUCCGACCAGUGUUUGUAAGACAAGACGUGACAAAAUGAUUUGCUAUUU